rnacentral:misc_RNA from 1 species
GAUUUCUUGUGCUAAAGCUUGUAUAAAUAAAUCUCCAAAUUUUCGUCCAUCAAUGAAAAAGGUACUUCUAGCUCUUGAAGGGAAUUUGCCUCUAGAGAAUUUAUGCGAUGAGAAAAACGACAACAAGUGGCGAUGGCCGCGUGCUGCAUAUGAAGCACACACGGAAGAAAUCUCGCCGGCAGUCAUGGGUGGCUCUUUCUUGACCGGGUUGUUCAAUAGGAUGAGAAACGCUAAUCGCCAACCCAAAGGAGUAAAAAAAGAAGAGGAAGGAGCUAUUCCAACGCAAGCAACUAAUGUCGAC